GGCUGGCGUGAAGGUAGUGAGUUAUCGCAAUUGUAUACUCACAGUCAGUGACAGACCAAACUCUUUGUUCUACUCUUUCCCCCUUCUUCUCACUGCUGCUCAUCUGGUUUUUU
ensembl:misc_RNA Y_RNA Y RNA